rnacentral:rRNA from 1 species
UACGGGGGGGGCAAGCGUUGUUCGGAAUUACUGGGCGUAAAGGGCUCGUAGGCGGCCAACUAAGUCAGACGUGAAAUCCCUCGGCUUAACCGGGGAACUGCAUCUGAUACUGGAUGGCUUGAGUUCGGGAGAGGGAUGCAGAAUUCCAGGUGUAGCGGUGAAAUGCGUAGAUAUCUGGAGGAACACCGGUGGCGAAGGCGGCAUCCUGGACCGACACUGACGCUGAGGAGCGAAAGCCAGGGGAGCAAACGGG